UCUCCCGAUUAUCUCCCGAUAAUCCCUGGAGCUUUGAGCCUCUCCCCCACCGUGGGCUCUUGAGGGGCUCAGAGACCCCACCAGCCACCAUCUGGGGUGAAACGGCCUGACUGGGAACAGGAAAUGAACCUCACCCACCAACUCUUUGUAUUUGUCACACCCAGAACUUCCUCGUUGAAGGCAAGAACGUUUCAAAGGCCCCAGAUUCUUCACCCCAAUUUUUCUCUUAAAGAAAUCUGUGAAAAAGUAUAGUAGGUUAGAAACAAUAACGUUACAUGGACUAUUACCGUUAGCCAUGCACCAGUGUAUCCUACAGCAGGGCUCUACCUCUUCUCCCUGCCAUACAACGCCUCUCUGGCAUUCCUUUUGUGACUGAAGAUGUGUACCCACAGCUCUGUGUUUCCUCUUCCCUGCCCCCACUGGGUCCCACAGUUCUUUCUGUUUCUAUAAAUUUGACUACUUUACAUACCCCGUACUAGGAGAAGCAUAGGGUAUUUGUCUUUCUGUGACUUGCUCAUUUCACUUGGCAGAACGUCCAGAAUAUCCUUCUUUGCUAAGACUGAAGAACAUUCCGCUGUAUGUCGAUGCCUCAGCUUCUUUCUCCAUUCCUCUCUGGGUGUGGACACGCGGGGCGCUUGGCUCUGGAGAAGACCACUGCAACGAACGGGGAUGUGCAAGUAUCCUUGGGAACGUUGCUUCCAAUUCUUAUGGAUGUACAAUCAGGAGUGAGAUGGCCCCAUCACGUGAAGCGACAAGUUGAGUGUCAUCGUUGGAAAACAGGCAGCUGAUGGUCCGUUGCCAAGGUGACCCUUUUGUCCAGAUGAUUCUUCCAGACUCUCUGGGUAUGACCCAAGCCAUAUAUCUGAAAGCACGUCGUACAUGUGGACUCACAGAGUCAGUAUCUUCAAGCUCCAUGAGGAAAGGAAGAGAGGACAAAAUGUGGUUUGGAUCCCUUUCAUUCUACUCAGCCUGUAAGUACAGACAUGGAGUCAUUUCCAUUGAACAUAGAACACAGGGAAGAAGAAACGAUGCAGGUGGUGAAUAGGGACCCGGCCAGUGACGCUCUGAAUCUUCAGCUGCAACAUCCGGGCCAUGCUGGCCACCAGCAGGCUGCCAGCAAGCAGCACCGCGGGCUGUGGGACCUGGAGGUGCGGCUCCAGGUGGGACCUCGCUCCAGUCUGUGUUCUGUCAGCUGUCCCACCGCCCACCCACAUCCACCCCCACCGAGGCUGAGGACCUCCAGGCCCUGGUGGACACCGUGAGGAUCGUGUCCUGCUGGAUGGACUGCCCCCACCUCUCCUCUCUGGCCUCUCGCACAAGCUGGGACCAAGCCGAACCCGUCCCUGCGCCCCCCUCAGCGCCUUAACUGCACACAUAAUUCCAGCAUUCACUUCCGGUCUUCACACAGGCUCAGCCUGCACACGUCUCCUUCUAUUAAAGGUCUUUCCCGCCACGUGGGUGCUGCCGCAAGAAUCAUGAGAGUCACUAUUGAAUCUUUGGUCCCCCCCUGCCCCACGUGGAAUCUGUCACCCAAAGCUCUCCAGGUCCCCCACCUGCCCCGACAUUUCUCCUGUUUCUCUACCACUUUCUCCUCCACCGCGACCACGAGUCCAAAUUGUCAUUUCCUACGUGAACCUGGCGGGUCUAACCAACCUUGCAGGGCGUGAGGUUCCUACUGUUGCUGUGACAAACUACCACAACCGCAGUGGCUUCACACAACACAAUUUGUUAAUCCUAGAGUUUUGUAGCUCAGAAGCCUGACACAGAGCCACAGGGAUCGUCCAAGACAAUCUCCCCAUUUAAAGGCCAGCCUAGUAACAACCUUAAUUCCCCGUUGCCUUGUCCAGUCACGUAUUCACAGGCUCUGGGGAGCAGGGUGUGGACAUCCGGUGGGGUCACUCUUCUGCCUAUGACAGCUUCCACUGUCUCCUCUCUCUGGGGCCUUCUCUGGGCGGCAAGCAGAGAGAUGCCACCAGAAUAACGUCAUGUAAAUAGAUCAUGUCGCUUCUGGAAAACAGAUCCGUCAAACAACGAAUAAAUAGUCCCUUUAGA